UCCAGCUGCAGGCAACUGCCUAGGCUGCCUCGUACCUAGGCAACUAUUACACUGCUGGGAGAAAAGCAGCCAGCAGCUUAUGGCAUUCUGGGCCUAGUUAAUGCCAAAUUUGUAUUAACUAUACCAGUGUGCCAACAUA
rnacentral:snoRNA from 1 species